rnacentral:miRNA from 1 species
AGAGUCUUGUGUUGUCUUGC